rnacentral:rRNA from 1 species
GACAGAGGGUGCAAACGUUGUUCGGAAUUACUGGGCGUAAAGCGCGUGUAGGCGGCCCAGUAAGUCCGUUGUAAAAGUCAAAGGCUCAACCUUUGAAAGCCGAUGGAUACUGCUGGGCUAGAGUCCGGAAGAGGCGAGUGGAAUUCCUGGUGUAGCGGUGAAAUGCGUAGAUAUCAGGAGGAAUACCUAUGGCGAAAGCAGGUAUCUGGGCCACAACUGACGCUGAGCUGCGAAAGCGUGGGGAGCGAACAGG